rnacentral:rRNA from 1 species
UUAAGCGACUAAGCGUACACGGUGGAUGCCUAGGCAGUCAGAGGCGAUGAAGGGCGUGCUAAUCUGCGAAAAGCGUCGGUAAGCUGAUAUGAAGCGUUAUAACCGACGAUACCCGAAUGGGGAAACCCAGUGCAAUACGUUGCACUAUCGUUAGAUGAAUACAUAGUCUAACGAGGCGAACCGGGGGAACUGAAACAUCUAAGUACCCCGAGGAAAAGAAAUCAACCGAGAUUCCCCCAGUAGCGGCGAGCGAACGGGGAGGAGCCCAGAGUCUGAAUCAGUUUGUGUGUUAGUGGAAGCGUCUGGAAAGUCGCACGGUACAGGGUGAUAGUCCCGUACACCAAAAUGCACAGGCUGUGAACUCGAUGAGUAGGGCGGGACACGUGACAUCCUGUCUGAAUAUGGGGGGACCAUCCUCCAAGGCUAAAUACUCCUGACUGACCGAUAGUGAACCAGUACCGUGAGGGAAAGGCGAAAAGAACCCCGGCGAGGGGAGUGAAAUAGAACCUGAAACCGUGUACGUACAAGCAGUGGGAGCACCUUCGUGGUGUGACUGCGUACCUUUUGUAUAAUGGGUCAGCGACUUAUAUUUUGUAGCAAGGUUAACCGAAUAGGGGAGCCGUAGGGAAACCGAGUCUUAACUGGGCGUCUAGUUGCAAGGUAUAGACCCGAAACCCGGUGAUCUAGCCAUGGGCAGGUUGAAGGUUGGGUAACACUAACUGGAGGACCGAACCGACUAAUGUUGAAAAAUUAGCGGAUGACUUGUGGCUGGGGGUGAAAGGCCAAUCAAACCGGGAGAUAGCUGGUUCUCCCCGAAAGCUAUUUAGGUAGCGCCUCGUGAACUCAUCUUCGGGGUAGAGCACUGUUUCGGCUAGGGGGCCAUCCCGGCUUACCAAACCGAUGCAAACUCCGAAUACCGAAGAAUGUUAUCACGGGAGACACACGGCGGGUGCUAACGUCCGUCGUGAAGAGGGAAACAACCCAGACCGCCAGCUAAGGUCCCAAAGUCAUGGUUAAGUGGGAAACGAUGUGGGAAGGCACAGACAGCCAGGAUGUUGGCUUAGAAGCAGCCAUCAUUUAAAGAAAGCGUAAUAGCUCACUGGUCGAGUCGGCCUGCGCGGAAGAUGUAACGGGGCUAAACCAUGCACCGAAGCUGCGGCAGCGACACUUAGGUGUUGUUGGGUAGGGGAGCGUUCUGUAAGCCGUUGAAGGUGACCUGUGAGGGUUGCUGGAGGUAUCAGAAGUGCGAAUGCUGACAUAAGUAACGAUAAUGCGGGUGAAAAACCCGCACGCCGGAAGACCAAGGGUUCCUGUCCAACGUUAAUCGGGGCAGGGUGAGUCGACCCCUAAGGCGAGGCUGAAAAGCGUAGUCGAUGGGAAACAGGUUAAUAUUCCUGUACUUGGUGUUACUGCGAAGGGGGGACGGAGAAGGCUAGGCUGGCCGGGCGACGGUUGUCCCGGUUUAAGCGUGUAGGGGGAGUGACCAGGUAAAUCCGGUUGCUUAUCAACCCUGAGGCGUGAUGACGAUGCACCACGGUGCAGAAGCAGUUGAUGCCAUGCUUCCAGGAAAAGCCUCUAAGCAUCAGGUAACAUUAAAUCGUACCCCAAACCGACACAGGUGGUCAGGUAGAGAAUACUCAGGCGCUUGAGAGAACUCGGGUGAAGGAACUAGGCAAAAUGGUGCCGUAACUUCGGGAGAAGGCACGCUGGCGUUAGGUGAAAGGACUAGCUCCUGGAGCUGAAGCCAGUCGCAGAUACCAGCUGGCUGCAACUGUUUAAUAAAAACACAGCACUGUGCAAACACGAAAGUGGACGUAUACGGUGUGACGCCUGCCCGGUGCUGGAAGGUUAAUUGAUGGGGUCAGCCGCAAGGCGAAGCUCUUGAUCGAAGCCCCAGUAAACGGCGGCCGUAACUAUAACGGUCCUAAGGUAGCGAAAUUCCUUGUCGGGUAAGUUCCGACCUGCACGAAUGGCGUAAUGAUGGCCAGGCUGUCUCCACCCGAGACUCAGUGAAAUUGAACUCGCUGUGAAGAUGCAGUGUACCCGCGGCAAGACGGAAAGACCCCGUGAACCUUUACUAUAGCUUGACACUGAACAUUGAGCCUUGAUGUGUAGGAUAGGUGGGAGGCCUUGAAGUGUGGACGCCAGUCUGCAUGGAGCCAACCUUGAAAUACCACCCUUUAAUGUUUGAUGUUCUAACUCGGCCCCAUGAUCUGGGGUGAGGACAGUGUCUGGUGGGUAGUUUGACUGGGGCGGUCUCCUCCCAAAGAGUAACGGAGGAGCACGAAGGUUAGCUAAUCACGGUCGGACAUCGUGAGGUUAGUGCAAAGGCAUAAGCUAGCUUGACUGCGAGAGUGACGGCUCGAGCAGGUACGAAAGUAGGUCUUAGUGAUCCGGUGGUUCUGAAUGGAAGGGCCAUCGCUCAACGGAUAAAAGGUACUCCGGGGAUAACAGGCUGAUACCGCCCAAGAGUUCAUAUCGACGGCGGUGUUUGGCACCUCGAUGUCGGCUCAUCACAUCCUGGGGCUGAAGUAGGUCCCAAGGGUAUGGCUGUUCGCCAUUUAAAGUGGUACGCGAGCUGGGUUUAGAACGUCGUGAGACAGUUCGGUCCCUAUCUGCCGUGGGCGUUGGAAGAUUGAGAGGGGCUGCUCCUAGUACGAGAGGACCGGAGUGGACGAAUCACUGGUGUUCGGGUUGUCAUGCCAAUGGCAUUGCCCGGUAGCUAAAUUCGGAAGAGAUAACCGCUGAAAGCAUCUAAGCGGGAAACUUGCCUCGAGAUGAGUCUUCCCUGGGGCUUAAAGCCCCCUGAAGGAACGUUAAAGACUAUGACGUUGAUAGGCUGGGUGUGUAAGUGCAGCGAUGUAUUGAGCUAACCAGUACUAAUGAUCCGUGAGGCUUAACCUU